GCCAGGCGUGGUGGCUCACGCCUGUAAUCCCAGCACUUUGGGAGGCCGAGGCAGGCGGAUCACCUGAGGUCAGGAGUUCGAGACCAGCCUGACCAACAUGGAGAAACCCUGUCUCUA
rnacentral:sRNA from 1 species